GAGAGUAAAGAAGAGUGAAAAAGAAGAAGAAAGGAAAAGAGGAAGAGGAAGAAGAAGAAGAAAGAAGAAGGGAAAAUCGACUGUAGAGCUUCAUCAAAGAUGAGUCGUGGUAUUGAUUAAUGAUCAGCUCAUCGAGAUCUUCGAUUUGAGGAUUUGAAACGAGUGUUGAUGAAGAUCUACAGUAUUUGGAGGUUCUUGAGCAAAAGAAGUGGAAUUUGGGGUUUUAUUGGUGUUCUUGAGAAAGAGUGAUUUAUAGGAAAUUAGACUCCAAUUACUUGCACUUUUGGAAUGGUGGCAUGAACAAAUCCAAAGAGCUCUAUCUCAUUGUGUGGCACAAAGUUUGCUCUCCAAAAUCCCUUGGUGGUCUUAGGAUUCGUGAUUCAGAGAUGCAUAACAAAGCAUCGCUACUUAAGCUUGGAUAUCAUCUCCUCAAUAAUAAACACUCAUUGUGAGCACAAAUCCUAAAAGCUGAGCAAAAUCUUUGUGCAAAAGAGGAUCUCUUUGUUGGAACAACAUUGUAAGUAGUCUACCCCUUUUUCCAAAACAUGAUUUUCAUGAAAAUUAGUCAUGGAAAGGACACUCAUUUCUGGAUUGAUCCUUGGUUACAAUCCACUUCUAUUUUGUGUAAUGCUAUCUCACUUGUAGCCCAUAACUCUCCCCUACACCUCAAGAAUGUAAAUGAUUUUAUAUUGGAGAAUAAAUGGAAUGCCAGUCUCUUAAACUCUUUACUUCCUCUUUCCUUAACUAAUAAGAUUAUUCAAAUCCCUAUUUCAAUUAGCAAUAACAAGUAGUGGUGCCACCUCUCAAAAGAGGGAUCUCUAUCUACUAAGAUAGUUGCCAAAUUUCUCAAAGCUGAUUUUUUACUAACACUAAUGGAUGCUCAAACAUGUGUACUUGCUUGUCUCCACGCUGACAAUGGUGGCGAUCUUUUUGGAAACUCAAAAUCCAUCCCAAAUGUAAGCUCUUCUUUGGAGAAUUGUUCAUGAUGGAAUUCUUACAAAGAACAUCCUAUCAAAAUGGGUGGAAAUAGACCCCCUUUGUAAUUUGUGCCACAAUUAACAUGAGAACAUUUGGCAUUUGUUCCUUCUGUGCGAGCUUACAACAAGGGUUUGGGAUGUUGGACCUUUGGGUCUCAAACUGAAUUUUUAUACACUGUUUCUUUCACAUUAGUAAUUAUGUACUUGUUUAAUUCUAAUGACAUACCGAAAAUAAAUUGGAUCACUUUUCAGUAUGUUUAUUAUUGUGUGUUACUACAUUUGAAAACAUAGGAAUCAAGUCAUCUUCAGAUCUCAAAAGCCUAACCCCUUCUAAUCCAGGUAGAAUUAUGGGUCUCUAAUGGCACCCCUAUAUUUUUUUUAUGAGCAACAUGUGACCUUCCCCAACCUCAAACCUACCCAGAUACUAACACUACAUGUUUUCUCUAAAAUAGUGCUAAUCUGUAUAGGGGUAACCAAUUUCACUAAAAAUAUCUUUGGCUGGGCAACAACUCUUAUAACAAAAGAUAAUUGAAUCUUACUCUAUACUACAUAUUGACAAGAAAUGGUACCGAAGCAACAAGGAGCUUACUUUACUGGAUGAAAAAGGCCAAGAAAAAAGGAUGGGAGGUGGAUGAAAUAUAGAGCGAUACAAUGGAGCUUAGGAACCUCAUGACUACUAACAAUACCAAUCUCUAGCCUUGGACAACGAUUCCCCUUCUUUUAUAAACUGCUAGUUUUUUUGUCUAAACCAACUUUUUGUUAAAAGGCUAACAAGAAGAAGUCAUUCUCCUACUACAACAUGAUGCUAUAAAAAGGAAAACUGUGAUUAUGGACCCUACUAAAUUUUAAACACCCUUCUCGCAAGCUAAUAUAUUAUGUUUUUCAAUCGUUACCAAACAAAAAAUUAUGUGUUCCUAUUACCCAAAAGAAAAAAAAAACUGUUAGAAGAUUCUCUGAGUCAUCAAAGAAGGUACACAAUAUACUAGCACUCUUUCAUUCUCUCUCCUUUUCACAUGAAAUGUCCUCUCUAUCCCUCUACUAGGGGUGUCAAAACCUAGCCCGAACUGAUAAAAUCAACCGAAAUUGACUGAUAAACACGAACCAAACCAAACCGAUCUUUAUUGUAUUGGUUUUGGACUCAGAUACAAUCGGUCCAAACCGAACCGACCAAUAAUCAAACCUAAACCAAACCGAAUGAAACCGAUAACAAAAAUAAAUGAUUAUGAGAUUAUAAAUGGGUGAAUUGACCAUCCAUUUUUUACAAUAUCAGUGAGAAAUUUUUUUGUUGUAAGGGGAAUUGUUACACAUCAUUGAAUAUCAGGUUAUGAAUAGAAAAAUUGAUUUAUAAAUUGUACUAAUGCUUCUACUGAUUUCGUUGUUCACUAUACAACACUAGUUGGAUAGUUAAAUUAAUGAUUGGAUAAUAGGGUUCACUUUGUGAUUUCAAUAUUAGUUGUCUUCUUAUUAAUUUGUUAUCUAUUGGUUUCAAUAUUAGUUAUCUUUCCUUUA